UGAUACCAGGGUCAAAAGGUCAUGCGUUUCAUGCUUGCAUGAAAAAGCAUGACCUUGGGGCCCGCAAAACAUGAGAAAGCAGCCCGAGCAGGGCGGAUUUCGAAUGUUUUUAGGAUUGCGGGAGCACAAAGUGCGGAGCAAUCCGUAGGUAUCA
rnacentral:sRNA from 1 species